ACCAAUCCUAGCCCAAAUUUCCCACAACUUAAACAAUCAUACAAACAUUAAACAAAACAUUCAACACUAUAAAGUAUAGGCGAUAGAAAUUUAAUUAGGCGCUAUAGAGAAAGUACCGCAAGGGAAAGAUGAAAGAAUUAUUCAAAGUAUAAAACAGCAUAGAUUAAACCUACUACCUUCUGCAUCAUGGAUUAACAAGAACUCCUUUUGCAAAAAGAAUUUAAGCAAAAAACCCCGAAACCAAACGAGCUACUUCCGGACAGCCGUCAGAGCCAACCCGUCUAUGUAGCAAAAUAGUGGGAAGAUCUGGAAGUAGAGGUGAAAAGCCAACCGAGUUUGGUGAUAGCUGGUUGCCCAAACAAGAAUUUUAGUUCAACUAUAAGUACAUCCUCCAAAAAACCUAAUUCCAAUGAUUACUUAUAAGCUAGUCUAAAGAGGGACAGCUCUUUAGAACCAGGGUACAACCUUGCGUAGUGAGUAAAUUAAAAAAAACAUCAUAGUUGGCCUAAAAGCAGCCAUCAAUUAAGAAAGCGUUCAAGCUCAACAUAACACCAACAAAAAUAAUACCACAAAUCCAUAAUAAACUCCUACUGAUCAAUUGGGCUAUUCUAUAAAAACAUAGAAGCAAUAAUGUUAAUAUUAGUAACAAGAAAAUUUUUCUCCCCGCACGAGCUUAUAUCAGACCAGAUACUUACUGAUAGUUAACGACUAGAUAAAACCAAUCACCAAUAAAUUAUUUAUCCCAAUCAAUCGUUAACCCAACACAGGAGUGCAAUAAGGAAAGACUAAAAGAAGCAAAAGGAACUCGGCAAAUACAAACCCCGCCUGUUUACCAAAAACAUCACCUCUAGCAUAACCAGUAUUAGAGGCACCGCCUGCCCAGUGACAGACCAGUUCAACGGCCGCGGUAUCCUGACCGUGCAAAGGUAGCAUAAUCACUUGUUCCUUAAAUGGGGACUAGUAUGAACGGCUAGACGAGGGUUUUACUGUCUCUUGCUUCCAGUCAGUGAAAUUGACCUUCCCGUGAAGAGGCGGGAAUAAAAAAAUAAGACGAGAAGACCCUAUGGAGCUUUAAAUUAACUUAACUACACUUAACUAUAAAAUUCCUAAAGGAUAUAAACUUCUAGUGAUAAGCAAGCAAUUUUGGUUGGGGUGACCUCGGAGAACAAAAAAACCUCCGAAUGAUACUAACUAAGACCCUACGAGUCAAAGUUAAAAUCAUUUAAUUGACCCAGUAUAAACUGAUCAACGAACCAAGUUACCCUAGGGAUAACAGCGCAAUCCUAUUCUAGAGUCCCUAUCGACAAUAGGGUUUACGACCUCGAUGUUGGAUCAGGACACCCAAAUGGUGCAGCCGCUAUUAAUGGUUCGUUUGUUCAACGAUUAAAGUCCUACGUGAUCUGAGUUCAGACCGGAGUAAUCCAGGUCGGUUUCUAUCUAUUUUUCAGCCUCUCCCAGUACGAAAGGACAAGAGAAGCAAGGCCAACUGUCGCUUCAGCGCCUUACAGGCAAAAAGAUGAUUUAAUAUUAAUCUUAUAGCCGCAAACAACAACUACCCGAGAACAGGGUUG
rnacentral:rRNA from 1 species